rnacentral:lncRNA from 1 species
GAAGAUGCUCCAAGUCCACUAGUAGCUCUCAAACUUCUUCUUCUUCCUUCCUUCUUCUCCUUCUCCAUCUCCUUCUUCUUCUUCUUCUUCUUCUUCUCUAUCUAGGGUGUAGAGAGAGUUGAGAGGAAAGAAAUGAGGAGAGGAGAGAGGGGAUGGGUCAUAUAGACCAUCUAUUGUAACAAAAUCCAGCUAGGUCCUCCA